rnacentral:rRNA from 1 species
UACGGGGGGGGCAAGCGUUGUUCGGAAUUACUGGGCGUACAGGGCUCGUAGGCGGCCAACUAAGUCGGACGUGAAAUCCCUCGGCUUAACCGGGGAACUGCGUCCGAUACUGGAUGGCUUGAGUUCGGGAGAGGGAUGCGGAAUUCCAGGUGUAGCGGUGAAAUGCGUAGAUAUCUGGAGGAACACCGGUGGCGAAGGCGGCAUCCUGGACCGACACUGACGCUGAGGAGCGAAAGCCAGGGGAGCAAACGGG